CGGACGAGCGCGGGGAGGAGUUUGCGAUGGGAGGCGCUUGCAGGGGCUCCCCCAGUUCUGCACUGUGAGCCGGGGCACAAAGCCCUCUGCACUCCGCCG
rnacentral:sRNA from 1 species